GCGCAUGCAGGCGGCCUGUUAAGUCAGAUGUGAAAGCCCCGGGGCUUUAAACCCUCGGAAUUGCAUUUGAAACUGGCAGGCUAGAGUCUUGUAGAGGGGGUAGAAUUUCAGGUGUAGCGGUGAAAUGCGUAGAGAUCUGAAGGAAUACCAGUGGCGAAGGCGGCCCCCCUGGACAAAGACUGACGCUCAGAUGCGAAAGCGUGGGGAGCAAACAGGAUUAGAUACCCUGGUAG
rnacentral:rRNA from 1 species